CCUACGGGAGGCAGCAGUGAGGAAUAUUGGUCAAUGGACGAGAGUCUGAACCAGCCAAGUAGCGUGAAGGAUGACUGCCCUAUGGGUUGUAAACUUCUUUUAUAUGGGAAUAAAAUGUUCCACGUGUGGGAUUUUGUAUGUACCAUAUGAAUAAGGAUCGGCUAACUCCGUGCCAGCAGCCGCGGUAAUACGGAGGAUCCGAGCGUUAUCCGGAUUUAUUGGGUUUAAAGGGAGCGUAGGCGGAUUGUUAAGUCAGUUGUGAAAGUUUGCGGCUCAACCGUAAAAUUGCAGUUGAAACUGGCAGUCUUGAGUACAGUAGAGGUGGGCGGAAUUCGUGGUGUAGCGGUGAAAUGCUUAGAUAUCACGAAGAACUCCGAUUGCGAAGGCAGUUCACUGGACUGCAACUGACACUGAGGCUCGAAAGUGUGGGUAUCAAACAGGAUUAGAUACCCCAGUAGUC
rnacentral:rRNA from 1 species